rnacentral:rRNA from 1 species
UACGGAGGGGGCUAGCGUUGUUCGGAAUUACUGGGCGUAAAGCGCACGUAGGCGGCUUUGUAAGUUAGAGGUGAAAGCCUGGAGCUCAACUCCAGAACUGCCUUUGAUACUGCAUGGCUUGAAUCCAGGAGAGGUGAGUGGAAUUCCGAGUGUAGAGGUGAAAUUCGUAGAUAUUCGGAAGAACACCAGUGGCGAAGGCGGCUCACUGGACUGGUAUUGACGCUGAGGUGCGAAAGCGUGGGGAGCAAACAGG